rnacentral:rRNA from 1 species
GGAUUAGAUACCCUGGUAGUCCACGCCGUAAACGAUGAUCACUAGACGUUAGCCUUGUUUACAGGGUUAGUGUCGUAGCUAACGCGUUAAGUGAUUCGCCUGGGGACUACGGUCGCAAGACUAAAACUCAAAGGAAUUGACGGGGGCCCGCACAAGCGGUGGAACAUGUGGUUUAAUUCGACACUACGCGAGGAACCUUACCUAGGCUUGACAUGUUUGUGACAGUCGUAGAAACACGAUCUUCUUUGCGAAAGCAAAGACACAUUCACAGGUGCUGCAUGGCUGUCGUCAGCUCGUGCCG